GCAUCCUUCCAAGUAAAACAUGCCUUGUCCGUGAACAAAACUGUUCCCAGAAAAUCGGCGUCUUUGGUAGUCUUUCGAUGUGGCGGAGAUGGGGCGCAUUCGGCCGACAUGGAUUGGCUUAAGUCAAAUUUCUAAGGCACAAAAUGCAAAAUCCAAACCUCAAAGAGGGUAUAUUACGAGGACAAAAAGUACUUGUCUCUAUCACCCCGUAAAGUUUGGCAGUAGUUUUUUGAUCACCUUGUAUUAUAGUUUUUUUCUUUGUGAUAAAUUUUACUGUCUUAUUGUUUUUGCAUUUCAGUU
rnacentral:lncRNA from 1 species